CAUCUUUCGGAAUGCAGCCAACUUCAACCCGUCGCCGAUCAACGCCAAUCGAGACAGAAAAGAGAAUACUGGAGCAAGUGUCGAAGAAAUUCAGGAAAGGUGUUUUUUUCACGAUACGAAGAGGUCGAAGCCAUUUCCAUUGAGUCAUCCACGUGUAUCUUCUUAUGCAACACAUCGUUCAUUUGACAGCUUCCUAUCGAUUACAACAAAUGUCACAUGCAUUUUUUGUGAGAUGUCCUAGAAGUGAAGCACUUCUGUUGGACAUUCUAAAACCCACACGAGGCAAGUUAACAGCUGCAAGCCACCUAUCAACCCGAUUAAAUAGGCGACAUACCGGCUCACAGAUUGCAGGAAUAUGUUAGCCAGUAUCCAGCAGGCAAAGGCGGUCCUGCGAAUCAUCGAGAAUUUUCAAAAUAUCUUUGUCGUGAUAUUCACCGAUCUCAGUCCUAUCUUAACUGCCAUUUGAGCCUCGAUCUCUUGGCCUACGCCAGCUCGAUAAGGUGUCUUGCUCUUGGUGCUUCCGUAUUCCCAUUCCUGACCAAAGUUCUCUACUGCAAGUUAAUAUUCAAC